UUUUAUUUAUUUCCUUUUAUUCGCUUUUGUUUUCUAUUUCGGAAUAGAUAUAGAAAAUAGGAAAGUUCUGAUUUGUUUUCAGCUGCCGCGUGAGCGCAUUAUAGGCCAUUGGGCCGAAUCCCCCGCCGCCAGGGAUCAAACCCCUUAAUAGCGGCCAACCUUUCUUUCCUUCCCCCGCCUCCUCUCUAUGACCACUGGACCUCGCGACCGACCCUCCCCUUCCCGUCGGUCACCACCUCCUUCCUCCUUCCAAUUCCCAGACCGAAACCGAGCCAGUACCCCAGAACUCGGGAUUCCACCCCGAUUCCUCUCUCCCCCUUCCUUUCCUCACCGCCCCUCAGGCCUAUAAGUACUGCC
rnacentral:lncRNA from 1 species